rnacentral:tRNA from 1 species
AUCUUUCUAGUAUUAAACUAGUACAAAUGACUUCCAAUCAUUCAGUCUUGGCUCAACACCAAGGAAAGAUA